AUUUAACUACGUUUGUGGGGUCCAAAAAAUAGGAAUGCACUAUACUUGUGGGGUCUGGACAGCUUUGUGGGUCCCAAAAUGCUGUCCC